rnacentral:misc_RNA from 1 species
GGGGGGGGGGGGGGGUUGAUGACUGAUGAGCAUUUUAUUGGAUGUGGUUUCUGUUAGGUCAUCUUCUAUCGACUUGAAUACUUCCUGGAUCCAGCGUUGACAGUAUCUGAGGCAUCGACAUGCCACCAGAUACAACAAUCUCUAUUCCUUCACGGACAGACAAGUUUGGUCUAAUAACAUCUCUUGCAUUAACGAGGAAUAUAUCACCAAUGUAAAGAUGAUUUGUAGGAACAUACACACAACAUAGCUCUUCGUCUCCGGAAUAGUUCUGCAGGACGACAGAUGAGGUAAUGAACCCAAAGGCAUAUUCACCAAUUCGAGGAUGCCUUAUUAUGGCAACCUCCUUGAAAGCUUGUGUGUUCUGAUCUGGAGAUAUGGCAGAACUAAUUUGCUUUGAAGCAUUAUAUAUAUGCCGAACAAAUGGCAUUCUUUUGAUGAACCAUUCCCCAAGACCCAAAACGGAAGUCCCCAACCAUGAUGACAUGAACACCCCGACCAAAAAAAUGAAAGUGAUUGAAGUCAUAAAUCCAAGACCAAAAACGUCAAUUCCAAGUUGAGCAUAGA